rnacentral:lncRNA from 1 species
AUAAAAAAAACGAGAAACGAGAAAAACGUAUAAAUUACAUAAACAAACGACAACUACUGUACAUCAGAUUCCCGACUUAGGACAGGUGCAAACAUUUGCAGCGGGAUUAAACGUUUUAAUGGAUCCAGACUUUAUCCUUUUUCUGAAACAAUAGCAUAACAUCACAACAUAGAAAAACACACAAUAAAAUAUCAAUUGGCAGGCUUAACUCAAUCAAAAAACGUACAUUAAUACACUAUAAACGAAUAAAUUUGAUCUGCGAUAUCUAAAUGCAAAUGCACAGUUUAUAAAAUAUUAGGGACAAACAUUCAAGGCCAAAAAGCAAACAAACAAGUCCAAACAAAGCCAUGUCAAGACACC